rnacentral:rRNA from 1 species
AGAGUUGAUCAUGGCUCAGAACGAACGCUGGCGGCAUGGACUAGGCAUGCAAGUUGAACGAACUCCUCGGGAGUGAGUAGCGGAAGGGUGAGGAACGCGUGAGUAAUCUGCCCCCCAGUUGGGAAUAACAGUUGGAAACGACUGCUAAUACCGAAUGUGGCUUAAGCUUCGCCUGGAGCUUUGGCUAAAGAUUUAUCGCUGGGGGAUGAGCUCGCGUCCCAUUAGGUAGUUGGUGAGGUAACGGCUCACCAAGCCGACGAUGGGUAGCUGGUCUGAGAGGAUGGUCAGCCACACUGGGACUGAGACACUGCCCAGACUCCUACGGGAGGCUGCAGUCGAGAAUCUUGGGCAAUGCGCGAAAGCGUGACCCAAGCAAUGCCGCGUGUAUGAUGAAGGCCCUCGGGUCGUAAAGUACUGUCUCCCGUGACGAAAUUUGACGGUAGCGGGGAAGGAAGCCACGGCUAACUACGUGCCAGCAGCAGC